AUUGAACGCUGGCGGCAGGCUUAACACAUGCAAGUCGAGCGAGCGGCGGACGGGUGAGUAAUGUCUGGGAAACUGCCUGAUGGAGGGGGAUAACUACUGGAAACGGUAGCUAAUCCCGCCUACCAUCAGAUGUGCCCAGAUGGGAUUAGUUAGUGGGUGGGGUAAUGGCUCCCCUGUGCGACGAUCCCUAGCUGGUCUGAGAGGAUGACCACCCACCCUGGAACUGAGACACGGUCCAGACUCCUACGGGAUGCAGCAGUGGGGAAUAUUGCACAAUGGGCGCAAGCCUGAUGCAGCCAUGCCGCGUGUGUGAAGAAGGCCUUCGGGUUGUAAAGCACUUUCAGCGAGGAGGCGUUACUCGCAGAAGAAGCACCGGCUAACUCCGUGCCAGCAGCCGCGGUAAUUC
rnacentral:rRNA from 1 species